GGACGGGGCAACGCAUAAUGGUUCCUACCAAGUUCAUUGUAGGAGAUCUGGACCUGACAUACCAUCUCCCCAUGGUCCAGGAAUACAUCAACAAUGGUGGUUUCAAGCACGACGUUCCAUUUCUUGAGGAAGUCGUGGUUAUGAAGGGAGUCGGUCACUUCAUCCAGGAGGAAAAGCCUGAAGAAAUUACUCAUCACAUCUACAACUUCAUCAAGAACUUCUGAUCUACACCACCAGUGAAGCAACUCUGCAAGACCUGCUAGCUGUAAGGCUUUGUAGAAGUGGG
rnacentral:misc_RNA from 1 species